UUUUAUGCUGCAGACAGGAGAGCGGCUGGCAACUCUUGCCAAUUCUCCGGAAGCCCUUGCAAAAUGAGAGUGAAUAAUGCAUGCAGAUGGAGACACCUCACUGACCUUCUACUUCAUAUGUUGGAACCCCAUUUUAAAGUCAGUUUGAGAAUCCGAGCUCUGCCAAGGAAGAAGGAAUAAAGAAUAAACUCAGGCACAAGGAUGCUUGUUACUUUCAGAAAGGCCACGCAGGGAGGUUUCCUGAGUCUCAGCUCUGUUUUCUUCUUCGGCUUCCCUGGUGGCGCAGUGGUUGCGAGUCCGACUGCCGAUGCAGGGGACGCGGGUUCGUGCCCCGGUCCGGGAAGAUCCCACAUGCCGCGGAGCGGCUGGGCCCGUGAGCCGUGGCCGCUGAGCCUGCGCGUCCGGAGCCUGUGCUCCGCAACGGGAGAGGCCGCAACAGUGAGAGGCCCGCGUACCGCAAAAAAAAAAAAAAAAAAAAAAAAUACUCUUUUUUCAUCAUUUGUAAAAUAGGUUAUUCUCACUUUGAGAAAAAUGUAUUUUAGAAAA